rnacentral:rRNA from 1 species
UACGGAGGGUGCAAGCGUUAUCCGGAUUUACUGGGUUUAAAGGGUGCGUAGGUGGGCAGGUAAGUCAGUGGUGAAAUCUUCAAGCUUAACUUGGAAACUGCCAUUGAUACUAUUUGUCUUGAAUAUCCUGGAGGUAAGCGGAAUAUGUCAUGUAGCGGUGAAAUGCUUAGAUAUGACAUAGAACACCGAUUGCGAAGGCAGCUCACUAAAUUGUAACUGACGCUGAGGCACGAAAGCGUGGGGAUCAAACAGG